rnacentral:rRNA from 1 species
UGUGGUUACAAUAGCAGAGAGGAUACACCUGUUCCCAUUCCGAACACAGAAGUUAAGCUCUCUAGCGCUGAUGGUACUUGGUGG